AUGUAUUUUGUGAGGGAUCUUGGUGUGGGGAUUACAGGAAUGGAUGAAAUUUGUGAUGAUGAUAAGGUGGAUGAAAUGCUUGACCAUAUUGCUAACAAUGAUCAGCAUGUAGUGAACUUGACAGUGGUUAGGGGCACUGAUCCAAGACCUGCAGAUUUGAACUCAGGCUAUCUGGUUGAGGAGCAGGUUCCUUUGAGCCAUAUAGGAGAGAACCCUGUUUAUGUAGUAAAUCCUUCUGGUGUUCUCUUAAGAUCACCACCAAAAAGUAUAAUACAGAGUCAGCCAGAGCCAUUGCAGUUCUACACUACACAGCAGAGCACAAACCAUGAUCUGGAUACAAAUGCUGCCAUGGACCAAUCUAAUGCAGCAGGUCAGGCUGAACUGGAGACAUUAAUGGAGUUGAAAAGGAGAACAAAGAUUGCCAAAUUUAGGAAACAUAAGAUUGCAGCUGAGCAUGUAAAUAAGGUUAAUAAGAAGCUAUCAAUUCUUCUAACUGAAGAUGAUUCAGAUCUGGAUGCAGAUGAGGACUAUCUUCAGAGGCUUAAUGAGAUGAGGAAGCAAAGAAAGGAUCCACUCAUUCAUUUUGAUGGAGACACUGAUGUGGAUGAACUAUAUGAGGAGGAUGAGGAAGGGCAACAUGUGGAGGUGGAGCAAGAGGAGCAGGUGGAGCAAGAUGAGCAGGUGGAGCACCAAGAGGUGCCUACAAAGAAGAAGAAAGCUAGAAAAGGGCCAACAGAGAGGAAUAUGAUGAUGGAGCUGAGGAAGUACAAUUUGUUCUGCCCAAUGGAAGGAAGAGCAGAUCAGUGA
rnacentral:rRNA from 1 species